AGCAGCCGCGGUAAUUCCAGCUCCAAUACCGUAUAUUAAAGUUGUUGCAGUUAAAAAGCUCGUAGUUGAAUUUCGGGAUUAGUACGUUGGUCAUGCCUUGGUAUGUACUGAUGUAACUGAUUCCUCCCUUCUGACGAACCGUUAUGCCAUUAAUUUGGUGUGGCGGGAAAUCAGGACUGUUACUUUGAAAAAAUUAGAGUGUUUAAAGCAGGCUCGCGCUUGAAUACAUUAGCAUGGAAUAAUGAAAUAGGACGUUAAUCCUAUUUUGUUGGUUUCUAGGAUCGACGUAAUGAUUAAUAGGGAUAGUUGGGGGCAUUAGUAUUCAAUUGUCAGAGGUGAAAUUCUUGGAUUUAUUGAAGACUAACUACUGCGAAAGCAUUUGCCAAGGAUGUUUUCAUUAAUCAAGAACGAAAGUUAGGGGAUCGAAGACGAUCAGAUACCGUCGUAGUCUUAACCAUAAACUAUGCCGACUAGGGAUCGGAUGAUGUUAAUUUUAAUGACUCAUUCGGCGCCUUACGGG
rnacentral:rRNA from 1 species